AGGAGGGAGAUGGCUGCCCACUUAAAGCACAAGCCCCGAGUGCUCUCCGUCCUGUGAGCUCUCCAAAUGCCAGCUUGCUCAGCUGAUUCACUUUGACGCAGGCAGGUUCAUCAGAAAGCCUUGGAACAGACCCCAGUACUGGUCCAAGCCCUGAAGACUGCACCCAGGAAAGUGGAGGUAUGGACAGAGGCAGCCGGUGCCUGAGGAAGCUCCACGGGGCAGGCAAGGCCCCCACGUCCAGUCUCAGCCCCUCUUUUGGCCACAUGCCGGAGAAGGAAAUUUUGUGCCUUGAAUAAUGAAUCCCCCUGGAGCCCACGGUACCUGUACUUCUCUUUAGUGUCCACUGAGAAUAACGUGUUCGACAUUCAAGUGACAACACUGGAAAGCAUUUCAAAGCCCUGGAGCCCCAGAACGCUGUACACCCCGACGGCUCUUCUGCCUGCCCUCUCUUUGGCUUCCAAAUGCAGCAAGCUCUUUCUUUACUUAAAAUGUGUUCAUCUUUCACACGCAUCCUGGAUGUACCACAGAAAGACAGUACAGAUAGGCAGGCUCUUAUUUCUGAAGCUGAGCUGGUCCCGCCCAGCACAAAGCUUUAAAGCUGCUAAGGCUCCAGGAUAUUAUCCAGUUUUUAAAAAUGGAAAAACUGGGAACAGGGAGGCUCAAUAUCUUGUCCCAGGCCCAAACAGGCUUUUCUGGAGUCAGUAUCAUUCAACUGGCUCAGGCUGGAUUUUCAUAAGAAAAGAUAAUAAACAUUUACUAAUGUAAUAAAAUAGACACCUUUUAAGUCACAAGCAGUAUCCAAACCUUUGGGACAUUCUAUGGUGCUGAACAGCUAUUUCAUAGAGGCUUUAUGUUAAGGAGCAAGUGCAGAAAAAAAUCUGAAAAUCUCAGUAAGAUGAGAAAACGAAAGCUUUACAAAAUGGUAGAAGAAAGUAGUCUCUCAUGCCUAAACUUCCAAAUAAGUUUUUGUUUGUUUGUUUUGGGUUUUUAGUUGAGCAUUCUUUCUGGUUUGAAAUAGAUUCAGAAGGCUUUUUAAAACAAGUCACUUUUGGCCAAAUAUAUUAAGGUAUAACCAAAUGAUACCAUAGAUCCAUUUAGAAAACAGAAAGUUCUUUACUGACAUGAAAGGAUUUCUAAGACAUAUUCAUAAGUAAAAAAGCAAAUAUACUACUAUUUGUAUGGGAUGAAAAAAUAAAAGAAACAUGUAUAUACAUACUUGUUUGUAUAUGCAUAGACUAUCUCUCUGGGUGGAUGUUGCCUUUUAAGGGGGGAAGGCUGAGGUGGGAGGACAGAGUUUCUCUCCUUUAUCUAAAUCAGGGGUGUCCAAUCUUUUGGCUUCCCUGGGAUAUAUUGGAAGAAGAAGAAUUGUCUUGGGCCACACAUAAAAUACACUAACGAUAGCUGAUGAGCUAAAAAAAUGCAAAAAAAUCUCAUAGUGUUUUUAGAAAGUUUAUGAAUUUGUGUUGGGCCACAUAUGGCCUUGAGGGCCACAGGUUGGACAAG
rnacentral:lncRNA from 1 species